rnacentral:tRNA from 1 species
GCCUCUGUAGCCGAGUUGGUAGAGUGCUCGGAUUGCCAGCGCAGGAGUCGUGGGUUCGAUUCCCAACAGAGGCC